rnacentral:tRNA from 1 species
GGCACUGUAGCUCAGUUGGUAGAGCACAUGCUUAACACGAUGUACUCGAUCGCAUGUUGUCGUCGGUUCGAGCCCGGCCAGAGUCA